UGGAAGCAAGCCAGAUCUUCGGCCUUAGCCAAAUGUGGAAUUGUUCGUGACAGAGAGCACUCACCAUCGGGAAGGUCUCACCACCAUCUUGACUUUACCAUGUGGGUUAUAAUGUGACCGCCAUCUUGUGUCCUGCCAGACACAGAUGUUUCCUACAGCCACAACAGCGCCAAAGCAGCUACAGGUGUUCAGCUCUGACCUCACAGACUUCCAACAAGCUACAGGUGUUCGGCUCUGACCUUACAGACUUCCAACAAGCUGGACCUGUACCUUCCCUCCCAGCCAUGGGUGUUCUCACAGACCUGGAAAAGCAUCAAAGCAGCCUAUUCUUCCUGGACUUGGUAGACAUGUCAGCCUUUUGACCUCCCUACAGCACCCCCAGUGUCAGCAGGAAGUAGCCAGAAGACAAUCUAUGCUCGUUAUUCACUUGUUGUUAACAAAAGGCUGAAGUGGUGUGCUUCAGGACCAGGACAAGCAGCUCCAGGUUUUCCCAGUGUUCCCCAGUCCUUCCCCGCUGCCUUGAAUGGCUGGCAACUCUCUCUGUUGACAACCCUCUACCCUAAAUUUUCCAGGGCAGAGACUUCUCUUAUUCUUAACCUUGCAACCUGACCAUUUGUUACUAUAACUCUUCUCUCUCUCAACCUCUUGCAUGACAACCAAGGGCUGCUUCCAAUGAGCCUAAAUUUACAUACUUUCACUUACCUUAUAAAAGACAGCCCAAGCUCCCUAUUUUUAAUUAUAGAAAAAGGGAGGAAUGUUGGGAUCAGUAAGCAGGCACCUCUAUGGCCAGCCCCGUAGACCCGUUAUCAGGCAUUUGUGAAGACACCCUGACCACCUGGAAUUACCUGCGCAUGCCCUUGAUCACCCUAUAAGAGAACUGGAGCCCUCCCCUCUCUCUCUCUCCUCUUCCUCUUCCGCUCUCUGACUCUUCUUUUCUCUCUCCCUCUUUCUCUAACCCCCUUCCCCUAAUAAACUUCCCACGUGGAACCGA